CGGGGAGAAGGGCUCGUCAUCCGGAGCGUCCAAGACUCCAAGUCGGCCCUGGAUUUCCAGGUGCACGUGCACGUGGUGGUCAUCAUAGCCGGCGAUGAGUGGCCCACGCUCCUCGCCAAGCCGGUCACCACCGAGCGCGAGCGCCGUCAACGGGCAGGAGAAGAAAGUGGACGAGCAACGCUGUGAGGUGAGCUUCCAGGUCCGAGGCAAAUGCCGCUGACGUGCAGAGCCAUGAGCCCAAGACCAUGAGACCAGCAGCACGACGGCACUGCAAGAAAGAUAAGAGAGACAAGAAAAGGAAGAGAGUAUGUAUCUAUAAUUGCGAUGACAUCAGAUUCAUUCACGGAGAGUGCUUAUGAGUACAUUGCUACUGGCCUGGGUUCCUACAUUAUCUCUUGAAAGGGGGUUUCGUCGCCCUAUACGAAUAAAGCAACAUCCACAUUAAUACAACAAGAGAUGCAAUUGUGCGUACAAGAAAAAUAUAGGCUUAUUGGGGUAACAACACAAGACAUGCAACAUGCUAUAUGUCGACCACGUGAACACCAUCCAACAUGUCUCCUAGACGGUCCUUGUCCCGCCGUGUGCAUAGUGGGUGGUACUACUGGAAAAUUGCCAAGAAUUUAAACAGAGUCAGGAGCACGCUGCAAGAAGACUCUCUUGACAACCAUCUUAUUAUGCAUCGUACAUAGGGUCCAAUUCAUUGCCAUGAACACCAAUCAGAAGAGUCGCCUCCUCAUAUCAGUUUGUCUUGUAAAUAUUAUUCCCUUGACGCAUCAUAAAUGCAAUAGAUAUAGCGUGGCUGGUAUUCACAACUAGUUACCUUGCUAUUCGAAGACAGAAACAAAGCUCUUUUUAGAGAGCAUGGGUCAAUCCCAUCAAUAAGAUCACUUAGCUUACUCAAACUUUAAAGUCUUCCAUUAGUUUUAUGAGACAGGAAGUGAUAUUGUGUCACACAUGUAUAUAUAUAAUUCUAAUGGAGGAUAUUACCCUUUAGCAACUAACCGUCUACUACCUGAGUAGCUUCGAUUUUGUGAUGAUGAGAGGCACGAAUGUAUGUGUGGCCCAGAUAUUUGUGCAUUAACGUCAUCAUCUGUUUGACAUCAAACAUAUUCUAAUAAUAUCAGCUCAAAGAUU